rnacentral:rRNA from 1 species
CAGUCGCCGCGGGAAUACGAAGGGUGCAAGCGUUAAUCGGAAUUACUGGGCGUAAAGCGUGCGUAGGCGGUUUGUUAAGUCUGUUGUGAAAUCCCCGGGCUCAACCUGGGAAUGGCAAUGGAUACUGGCAAGCUAGAGUGUGUCAGAGGAUGGUGGAAUUCCCGGUGUAGCGGUGAAAUGCGUAGAGAUCGGGAGGAACAUCAGUGGCGAAGGCGGCCAUCUGGGACAACACUGACGCUGAGGCACGAAAGCGUGGGGAGCAAACAGGAUUAGAUACCCGUGUAGUCCCUGUCUCUUAUAC